rnacentral:rRNA from 1 species
UAAUACAGAGGGUGCGAGCGUUAAUCGGAAUUACUGGGCGUAAAGGGCGCGUAGGCGGUUGUAUGUGAGUGAUGUGAAAGCCCCGGGCUUAACCUGGGAAGUGCAUUGCUGACUGUAUGACUGGAGUAUAUGAGAGGGUGGCGGAAUUUCCGGUGUAGCGGUGAAAUGCGUAGAGAUCGGAAGGAACGUCAAUGGCGAAGGCAGCCACCUGGCAUAAUACUGACGCUGAGGCGCGAAAGCAUGGGGAGCGAACAGGAUUAGAUACCCUGGUAGUCCAUGCUGUAAACGAUGAGAACUAGAUGUUGCUUGGGGAACCAAGCGGUAUCGAAGCUAACGCGAUAAGUUUUCCGCCUGGGAAGUACGGCCGCAAGGUUG